rnacentral:rRNA from 1 species
UACGUAGGGGGCUAGCGUUGUCCGGAUUUAUUGGGCGUAAAGAGCGUGUAGGCGGCCUGGUAGGUCUGCUGUGAAAACUCGAGGCUCAACCUCGAGAUGUCGGCGGAAACCAUCUGGCUAGAGUCCGGAAGAGGAGAGUGGAAUUCCUGGUGUAGCGGUGAAAUGCGCAGAUAUCUGGAGGAACACCGGUGGCGAAGGCGGCAUCCUGGACCGACAUUGACGCUGAGGCGCGAAAGCCAGGGGAGCAAACGGG